rnacentral:rRNA from 1 species
UACAGAGGUCCCAAGCGUUGUUCGGAUUCACUGGGCGUAAAGGGUGCGUAGGUGGUUAGGUAAGUCCGAUGUGAAAUCUCCAGGCUCAACCUGGAAAUGGCAUUGGAUACUAUCUAGCUUGAGGAGUGGAGGGGGGACUGGAAUUCUCGGUGUAGCAGUGAAAUGCGUAGAUAUCGAGAGGAACACCAGUGGCGAAGGCAGCACUCUGGGACGUGACUGACGCUGAGACGCGAAAGCGUGGGGAGCAAACAGG